rnacentral:tRNA from 1 species
UCCCUGGUGGCUAAGUUGGUAAAGAAUCCACCUGCAAUGUGGGAGACCCAGGUUCAAUCCCUGGGUUGGGAA